GUGGUUGUGUAACGGCGGAUGAAAUUGUAUGGUUCGGUCAUGGCUUGGCUAUGCAUAAAUAAGCAACAUUGUAACAGAACUUUGCAGCUAGCUCAAAGGCUUUUGCUCCACCUGGAACAGCAGGAACAGCUAUCUUUGAAACUUUUGAAUCUUUUCCUUCCAACAACAGUUUUCAAAUUCUUCAACUCCGAGAUACAAGAGGGAACUUGUGAAGUGCAAAGCUUGAUGCUCCA
rnacentral:misc_RNA from 1 species